UGGUAAUUAGUUUAAAUCAAAACAAAUGAUUUCGA
rnacentral:tRNA from 1 species